CCAGCAGCGCGGUAAUACGAAGGUCCCGAGCGUUGUUCGGAAUCACUGGGCGUAAAGGGAGCGUAGGCGGCGUGGUAAGUCAGAUGUGAAAUCCGGRGCUCAACCCCGGAACUGCAUCCGAUACUGCCGUGCUAGAGGAUUGGAGAGGUAGCUGGAAUUCACGGUGUAGCAGUGAAAUGCGKGGAUAUCGUGAGGAACACUCGUGGCGAAAGCGAGCUACUGGACAACUCCUGACGCUGAGGCUCGAAGGCCAGGGUAGCGAAAGGGAUUAGAUACCCCUGUAGUCCUGGCAGUAAACGGUGUGCGCUUGGUGUGAGGGGAAUCGACCCCCCUUGUGCCGGAGCUAACGCGUUAAGCGCACCGCCUGGGAAGUACGGUCGCAAGACUAAAACUCAAAGAAAUUGACGGGGACCCGCACAAGCGGUGGAGUAUGUGGCUUAAUUCGAUGCAACGCGAAGAACCUUACCAAGGCUUGACAUGCAUCUCUAAGCGCGUGAAAGCGCGUGACCCUUCGGGGGAUUUGCACAGGUGCUGCAUGGCCGUCGUCAGCUCGUGUCGUGAGAUGUUGGGUUAAGUCCCGCAACGAMCGCAACCCUUGUGAUUAGUUGCCAGCACGUCAUGGUGGGAACUCUAAUCAGACUGCCCAGAUCAACUGGGAGGAAGGUGGGGACGACGUCAGGUCAGUAUGGCCCUUACGCCUUGGGCUGCACACGUACUACAAUGCCCAGUACAAUGAGAACCGAUGCCGCGAGGUGGAGGAAAUCUGUAAAACUGGGCCCAGUUCGGAUUGGAGGCUGCAACUCGCCUCCAUGAAGUUGGAAUCGCUAGUAAUGGCGCAUCAUCUACGGCGCCGUGAAUACGUUCCCGGGUCUUGUACACACCGCCCGUCACAUCAUGGAAGCCGGUCGCACCCGAAGUGCCUGUACCAACCGCAAGGGGGUAGGGUCCUAAGGUGUAGCUGGUAACUGGGAUGAAGUSGUAACAAGGUAAC
rnacentral:rRNA from 1 species